rnacentral:tRNA from 1 species
GGGCCCAUAGCUCAGUUGGUAGAGCAACUGACUUUUAAUCAGUAGGUCGAAGGUUCGAAUCCUUCUGGGCUCACCA